AUUGAACGCUGGCGGCAGGCCUAACACAUGCAAGUCGAACGGACCCUUCGGGGUUAGUGGUGGACGGGUGAGUAACACGUGGGAACGUGCCUUUUGGUUCGGAAUAGCUCCUGGAAACGGGUGGUAAUGCCGAAUGUGCCCUUCGGGGAAAGGAUUUAUCGCCAUUAGAGCGGCCCGCGUCUGAUUAGCUAGUUGGUGAGGUAAAGGCUCACCAAGGCUACGAUCAGUAGCUGGUCUGAGAGGAUGACCAGCCACAUUGGGACUGAGACACGGCCCAAACUCCUACGGGAGGCAGCAGUGGGGAAUCUUGCGCAAUGGGCGAAAGCCUGACGCAGCCAUGCCGCGUGUAUGAUGAAGGUCUUAGGAUUGUAAAAUACUUUCACCGGUGAAGAUAAUGACUGUAGCCGGAGAAGAAGCCCCGGCUAACUUCGUGCCAGCAGCCGCGGUAAU
rnacentral:rRNA from 1 species